rnacentral:rRNA from 1 species
GAGGAAAAGAAACCAACAGGGAUUGCCUUAGUAACGGCGAGUGAAGCGGCAAAAGCUCAAAUUUGAAAUCUAGCACUUUCAGUGUUCGAGUUGUAAUUUGAAGAAGGUAACUUUGGAAUUGGCUCUUGUCUAUGUUCCUUGGAACAGGACGUCACAGAGGGUGAGAAUCCCGUGCGAUGAGAUGUCCAAUUCUAUGUAAAGUGCUUUCGAAGAGUCGAGUUGUUUGGGAAUGCAGCUCUAAGUGGGUGGUAAAUUCCAUCUAAAGCUAAAUAUUGGCGAGAGACCGAUAGCGAACAAGUACAGUGAUGGAAAGAUGAAAAGAACUUUGAAAAGAGAGUGAAAAAGUACGUGAAAUUGUUGAAAGGGAAGGGCUUGAGAUCAGACUUGGUAUUUUGUGUUCCUUAUUCUUUUUGGAUUUGGUUCCUCACAGCUUACCGGGCCAGCAUCGGUUUGGAUGGUAGGAUAAUGACAUUGGAAUGUAGCUUUGCUUCGGUGAAGUGUUAUAGACUUUGUUGAUACUGCCUAUCUAGACCGAGGACUGCGUCUUUGACUAGGAUGCUGGCGUAAUGAUCUUAAGCCGCCCGUC